GAUGAACGCUGGCGGCGUGCCUAAUACAUGCAAGUCGAGCGAACAGACGAGGAGCUUGCUCCUCUGACGUUAGCGGCGGACGGGUGAGUAACACGUGGAUAACCUACCUAUAAGACUGGGAUAACUUCGGGAAACCGGAGCUAAUACCGGAUAAUAUAUUGAACCGCAUGGUUCAAUAGUGAAAGACGGUUUUGCUGUCACUUAUAGAUGGAUCCGCGCCGCAUUAGCUAGUUGGUAAGGUAACGGCUUACCAAGGCAACGAUGCGUAGCCGACCUGAGAGGGUGAUCGGCCACACGGGAACUGAGACACGGUCCAGACUCCUACGGGAGGCAGCAGUAGGGAAUCUUCCGCAAUGGGCGAAAGCCUGACGGAGCAACGCCGCGUGAGUGAUGAAGGUCUUCGGAUCGUAAAACUCUGUUAUUAGGGAAGAACAAAUGUGUAAGUAACUAUGCACGUCUUGACGGUAACUAAUCAGAAAGCCACGGCUAACUACGUG
rnacentral:rRNA from 1 species